CUAUUCUUAGCUGGUCUGAGAGGAUGACCAGCCACACUGGAACUGAGACACGGUCCAGACUCCUACGGGAGGCAGCAGUGGGGAAUAUUGGACAAUGGGGGCAACCCUGAUCCAGCAAUGCCGCGUGUGUGAAGAAGGCCUGAGGGUUGUAAAGCACUUUCAGUGGGGAGGAGGGUUGAUAGGUUAAGAGCUAAUUAACUGGACGUUACCCACAGAAGAAGCACCGGCUAACUCCGUGCCAGCAGCCGCGGUAAUACGGAGGGUGCGAGCGUUAAUCGGAAUUACUGGGCGUAAAGGGUGCGUAGGUGGUUGAUUAAGUUAUCUGUGAAAUUCCUGGGCUUAACCUGGGACGGUCAGAUAAUACUGGUUGACUCGAGUAUGGGAGAGGGUAGUGGAAUUUCCGGUGUAGCGGUGAAAUGCGUAGAGAUCGGAAGGAACACCAGUGGCGAAGGCGGCUGCCUGGCCUAAUACUGACACUGAGGCACGAAAGCGUGGGGAGCAAACAGGAUUAGAUACCCUGGUAGUCCACGCUGUAAACGAUGUCAACUAGCUGUUGGUUAUAUGAAAAUAAUUAGUGGCGCAGCAAACGCGAUAAGUUGACAUCGA
rnacentral:rRNA from 1 species